UACGUAGGGUGCGAGCGUUGUCCGGAUUUAUUGGGCGUAAAGAGCUCGUAGGCGGUUUGUCGCGUCGGCCGUGAAAACUUGGGGCUUAACUCCAAGCUUGCGGUCGAUACGGGCAGACUUGAGUUCGGCAGGGGAGACUGGAAUUCCUGGUGUAGCGGUGAAAUGCGUAGAUAUCAGGAAGAACACCCGUGGCUAAGGCGGCUCUCUAGUACGGUACUGACGCUGAGACGCGAAAGCGUGGGGAGCGAACAGG
rnacentral:rRNA from 1 species